CCUUUGACGUUAGCGGCGGACGGGUGAGUAAUACGUGGGUAACCUACCUAUAAGACUGGGAUAACUUCGGGAAACCGGAGCUAAUACCGGAUAAUAUUUCGAACCGCAUGGUUCGAUAGUGAAAGAUGGUUUUGCUAUCACUUAUAGAUGGACCCGCGCCGUAUUAGCUAGUUGGUAAGGUAACGGCUUACCAAGGCGACGAUACGUAGCCGACCUGAGAGGGUGAUCGGCCACACUGGAACUGAGACACGGUCCAGACUCCUACGGGAGGAAGCAGUC
rnacentral:rRNA from 1 species